rnacentral:pre_miRNA from 1 species
AUAUGAAUCACCUGCAGAUCUUCUUAAAAUGCAGAUUCUGAUUCAGAAGAUCUGAGUAGAGGCCCGAGAGUCUGCAUGUCUAGCAAGCUCCCUGGUGAUGCCAAA